GCAACUGAAUAGCCAUUGGCUAGUAAUUUUUUUUUUUUUUUUUACAGUGUGUGUGUGUGUGUGUGUGUUAAAAAUUAAAUGUCAGAUGUAUGUUGAUUAAUUGCAUAUGUUUGUUUAGAGGGGAUUUUGUGAGUGGCCAAAAAAAACUACAUGAUUGAUUUAUUGUAUGUGCAAAAGUGAAGCUCCAGCUGCAUUGGUAAAGUCAAGUGGAUAACAAAUUCAAGUGAAACACAUUUGGAUGCUUAAUUAAUCAGUAAAGCCGACCAAUCAAAUUAGACAUUCUUAGCAAAGUGGCUGGGCAACAUUGAUUAAAAUAGAGAGGAAACCAACCACUGUAGUGCCAAAGAGUCAAACAAUGCCAAGAGGAAAGGAGAUAUCUCGGCACGUCAGUCUGGGGAAGGCUAUAAGACCAUCUCCAAGAGAUUCCAAUCCCUCCCUAGAAGUGGAUGCCCAUCAAAAAUAUCAUCAAGAAGCACCUGAAAAAUAAUAAAUGAGGUAAAGGCCAACCCACACAUCACCUGUAGAGAGUUGCAGACCUCUCUGGCAGCAUCUGAGAACAAAGCUGCCCGGUUCAACUUUGCCAGGGAGCAUUUGGACAAACCAGAAGCCUUUUGGAAGAAUAUUUGGACUGAAGCAUACAAAAUAGAUUUUAUUUGGUCGUAAUCAAAGCCGACAUGUUUGGAGAGAAGACAACAGUGAAUUCCAGGAACCUCCUCCCAACACGUGACACCAUAUUAUUCAGGGAAACCUGAUUUCUUACACCUAUCAACAAAUUCUUGAAGAGAAUCUCCUGCCAUCAGUCAGAGAGCUGACGCUGGGCUGAAAAUGGGUGACGUUUGGUUGUUUUCUGUUUACAUAAAACAUUCAUCAAAUAAAAAAUUAAUAAAAUGA